AUUGAACGCUUGCGGCAGGCCUAACACAUGCAAGUCGAGCGAGCGGCGGACGGGUGAGUAAUGUAUGGGGACUGCCCGAUAGAGGGGGAUAAAUACUGGAAACGGUAGCUCAUACCGCAUACUAUCGGAUAACCCAUAUGGGAUUAGCUAGUAGGUGAGGUAAUGGCGCACCUAGGCGACGAUCCCUAGCUGGUCUGAGAGGAUGAUCAACCACACUGGGAAUGAGACACGGCCCAGACUCCUACGGAGGCAGCAGUGGGGAAUAUUGCACAAUGUGCGCAAGCCUGAUGCAGCCAUGCCGCGUGUAUGAAGAAGGCCCUAGGGUUGUAAAGUACUUUCAGGCGGGAGGCGUUACCGACCGAAGAAGCACCGGCGAACUCCGUGCCAGCAGCCGCGGUAAUUC
rnacentral:rRNA from 1 species